CUUUUUAUAGGUUUCCAGCAUUCAAAAAUGAGCAUUCCACAAAUAGUAUUCAUGUCCUCAGAUUUGGUAAACAUUGAACCUAAAAUCGACCAAAUAUUUAAAUCGACAAGGUGAACUGGCAAAAAUGUUGACUGAAACAAACUUACUUUAAAAACGAAGCUUGGACUUGUAUGCCAAUAAAAUCAAGGUCAUGUUUCCUUUAAAAAGUUAGAAUGAAUCACACAAAUUAGAAAACGAGUUAUCCGAGGAAGAAGCAGUUGUAACCUUCGACUAUCUACAAAGGCCAACAUCAAUAGCGUUUUGAGCCAGUAUAACUUUCACGGUGCAUAAGAAAAAAGCAUUGGAGUCAUUUAAUAAGAAAUUACUGCAUUAUUUGAAGCAUCAGAAAGGCCAAAUUUUGAUAAUUUUGUUGAUCAAUUUCGUCAAGCAAUUAAGACAUCGACGAACAGGCAUCAUAAACUAGUAUCCCGCAAAAAAUAAGGCGACAAUAAGGAGAAUGUACAUAUAAAUAAUUACAACUAAUAACACGGUGCUACAAAAAAAUCACGAAAUGCAGCCGAAACAAAACAUAGUGUAGGCUGUAGGUACGGUCAACUACAUUGUCACUACAACAUGAAAAUACAUAGGUUUCUUAUAGUCC